rnacentral:rRNA from 1 species
CGGGUAUGAACGAUUUAUCGUUCUAAGUGAGUGACGUCACACUGCCAAGAAAAGCUUCUAGUUAGAAUCAGACCGCCCGUACCGCAAACCGACACAGGUAGUCGGGUCGAGAAGACCAAGGUGAGCGAGAGAACUCUCGUUAAGGAACUCGGCAAAAUGACCCCGUAACUUCGGGAGAAGGGGUGCUGAUCGCAAGAUCAGCCGCAGUGAAUAGGCCCAGGCGACUGUUUAUCAAAAACACAGGUUUCUGCAAAAUCGUAAGAUGAAGUAUAGGGGCUGACGCCUGCCCGGUGCUGGAAGGUUAAGAGGAUGGGUUAGCGUAAGCGAAGCUCAGAAUUGAAGCCCCAGUAAACGGCGGCCGUAACAAUAACGGUCCUAAGGUAGCGAAAUUCCUUGUCGGGUAAGUUCCGACCCGCACGAAAGGCGUAACGAUCUGGGCACUGUCUCAACGAGAGACUCGGUGAAAUUAUAAUACCCGUGAAGAUGCGGGUUACCCGCGACAGGACGGAAAGACCCCAUGGAGCUUUACUGUAGCUUGAUAUUGGGUGUUUGUACAACUUGUACAGGAUAGGUAGGAGCCGUAGAAGUCGGGACGCUAGUUUCGACGGAGGCAUCGGUGGGAUACUACCCUCGUUGUAUGAACACUCUAACCCACGCCGGCAAUCACGGCGGGAGACAGUGUCAGGUGGGCAGUUUGACUGGGGCGGUCGCCUCCUAAAAGGUAACGGAGGCGCCCAAAGGUUCCCUCAGAAUGGUUGGAAAUCAUUCGCAGAGUGUAAAGGCAUAAGGGAGCUUGACUGCGAGACCUACAAGUCGAGCAGGGACGAAAGUCGGGCUUAGUGAUCCGGUGGUUCCGCAUGGAAGGGCCAUCGCUCAACGGAUAAAAGCUACCCUGGGGAUAACAGGCUUAUCUCCCCCAAGAGUCCACAUCGACGGGGAGGUUUGGCACCUCGAUGUCGGCUCAUCGCAUCCUGGGGCUGUAGUCGGUCCCAAGGGUUGGGCUGUUCGCCCAUUAAAGCGGUACGCGAGCUGGGUUCAGAACGUCGUGAGACAGUUCAGUCCCUAUCCGUCGCGGGCGCAGGAAAUUUGAGAGGAUCUGUCCUUAGUACGAGAGGACCGGGAUGGACAUACCGCUGGUGUACCAGUUGUUCUGCCAAGGGCAUCGCUGGGUAGCUAUGUAUGGAUGAGAUAAACGCUGAAAGCAUCUAAGUGCAAAACUCACCUCGAGAUAAGAUUUCCCACUCCUUUAUGGAGUUAAGACCCCUGAGAGAUGAUCAGGUAGAUAGGAU